rnacentral:rRNA from 1 species
CGCGCGAUACAGGGUGACAGCCCCGUACACAAAAGCGCAUGUGUUGUGAGCUCGAUGAGUAGGGCGGGACACGUGGUAUCCUGUCUGAAUAUGGGGGGACCAUCCUCCAAGGCUAAAUACUCCUGACUGACCGAUAGUGAACCAGUACCGUGAGGGAAAGGCGAAAAGAACCCCGGCGAGGGGAGUGAAAAAGAACCUGAAAUCGUGUACGUACAAGCAGUGGGAGCACCCUUCGGGGUGUGACUGCGUACCUUUUGUAUAAUGGGUCAGCGACUUAUAUUCUGUAGCAAGGUUAACCGAAUAGGGGAGCCGGAGGGAAACCGAGUCUUAAUUGGGCGUUAAGUUGCAGGGUAUAGACCCGAAACCCGGUGAUCUAGCCAUGGGCAGGUUGAAGGUUGGGUAACACUAACUGGAGGACCGAACCGACUAAUGUUGAAAAAUUAGCGGAUGACCUGUGGCUGGGGGUGAAAGGCCAAUCAAACCGGGAGAUAGCUGGUUCUCCCCGAAAGCUAUUUAGGUAGCGCCUCGUGAAUUCAUCUCCGGGGGUAGAGCACUGUUUCGGCUAGGGGGCCAUCCCGGCUUACCAACCCGAUGCAAACUGCGAAUACCGGAGAAUGUUAUCACGGGAGACACACGGCGGGUGCUAACGUCCGUCGUGAAGAGGGAAACAACCCAGACCGCCAGCUAAGGUCCCAAAGUCAUGGUUAAGUGGGAAACGAUGUGGGAAGGCCCAGACAGCCAGGAUGUUGGCUUAGAAGCAGCCAUCAUUUAAAGAAAGCGUAAUAGCUCACUGGUCGAGUCGGCCUGCGCGGAAGAUGUAACGGGGCUAAACCAUGCACCGAAGCUGCGGCAGCGACACUGUGUGUUGUUGGGUAGGGGAGCGUUCUGUAAGCCUGUGAAGGUGUGUCGUGAGGCAUGCUGGAGGUAUCAGAAGUGCGAAUGCUGACAUAAGUAACGAUAAAGCGGGUGAAAAGCCCGCUCGCCGGAAGACCAAGGGUUCCUGUCCAACGUUAAUCGGGGCAGGGUGAGUCGACCCCUAAGGCGAGGCCGAAAGGCGUAGUCGAUGGGAAACGGGUUAAUAUUCCCGUACUUGGUGUUACUGCGAAGGGGGGACGGAGAAGGCUAUGUUGGCCGGGCGACGGUUGUCCCGGUUUAAGCGUGUAGGUGUGUGUUCCAGGUAAAUCCGGUUCACUUUAACACUGAGGCGUGACGACGAGGCACUACGGUGCUGAAGCAACAAAUGCCCUGCUUCCAGGAAAAGCCUCUAAGCAUCAGGUAACAUCAAAUCGUACCCCAAACCGACACAGGUGGUCAGGUAGAGAAUACCAAGGCGCUUGAGAGAACUCGGGUGAAGGAACUAGGCAAAAUGGUGCCGUAACUUCGGGAGAAGGCACGCUGACACGUAGGUGAAGUGAUUUACUCAUGGAGCUGAAGUCAGUCGAAGAUACCAGCUGGCUGCAACUGUUUAUUAAAAACACAGCACUGUGCAAACACGAAAGUGGACGUAUACGGUGUGACGCCUGCCCGGUGCCGGAAGGUUAAUUGAUGGGGUCAGCGCAAGCGAAGCUCCUGAUCGAAGCCCCGGUAAACGGCGGCCGUAACUAUAACGGUCCUAAGGUAGCGAAAUUCCUUGUCGGGUAAGUUCCGACCUGCACGAAUGGCGUAAUGAUGGCCAGGCUGUCUCCACCCGAGACUCAGUGAAAUUGAACUCGCUGUGAAGAUGCAGUGUACCCGCGGCAAGACGGAAAGACCCCGUGAACCUUUACUAUAGCUUGACACUGAACAUUGAGCCUUGAUGUGUAGGAUAGGUGGGAGGCUUUGAAGCGUGGACGCCAGUCUGCGUGGAGCCGACCUUGAAAUACCACCCUUUAAUGUUUGAUGUUCUAACGUGGACCCGU